GGGUACUUGAUGGUGCUGAAUUGCUGAUAAGAUAAACGCAUGUGUUCCACUACUACUUUAUGAUUACAGAACCAUUGAGAAACUUUGCUUUGGUUGAACAACUUUCAAGGGGAAGCUUAACACUAAAGGUUUGGCUUUGUUGCUGUUGGCUGUUGUGGUACAAUUAGUUGAGAGAAUGAGUUAGGUUCUCUGAAAAUUAAAUUCACUCAAUAGACAACUUCUGAGGUUGAUCAAUAUUUCAAGUCUGCUUGGUUGUGUUGUGCUGUGCCUCUUCAUAAUGUUAUUGAGUGUAGUCUUUGUUUCUUGAGCAUAGCAAUGAGCCAUCGGUACUAAAUAUGAAUUGGCCUAUGGCUGGUUUGGCUUUGUUGCUGUUGGCUGUUGUAGUACAAUUAGUUGAGAGAAUGAAUUAGGUUCUCUGAAAAUUAAAUUCACUCAAUAGACAACUUCUGAGGUAGAUCAAUAUUUCAAGUCUGCUUGGUUGAGUUGUGCUGUGCCUCUUCAUAAUGUUAUUGAGUUAUAUAACCAUCUACAUGUAAUUCCACUGGGUUUCAACGGGGAAGCACAACGCAAGAUGGUGUUAAUUCUCAGGUAUCAUAGUAUAAUUGUUUAACAAUCGAAAGUUGUAUCAUAGGUAUAGUGUAUUUUUAUUAAGGAAGAAUUGCUGCUAUUAUAUUGAGGGACAAUAAUCAACAUGCAAUUUUUAUAUUUGCCAUAUAAAGGAACCUGCUCAUAAUCAUGCAAAAGGUCUGCAAGGAUCUCCUUCAUUGUUGAGCUGAAAUAACAAAACUUACAAUGUUUCACAAGUAUCACGAGGGGAUGCAUCAGAUUCAGUUAUUGUACUGAUCCUCAUAAAAAGGUGUAUAGUACUGAUACUGAGUGUGAUUAACAAAGGGAAAGACCAUCCUUGAUCAAAAUUUAUGCUAUCAUCUUAAUAACGGGUACUGUAAAUGCCAUAUUAAACCUAGCUAGUGCUUGAUUUGAGUGCAUGGGUUAGCCUGCUAAAAAAACUCUUUUGGUUUCUGUCAAGUCUCAAGGGCAUUUGGACUUCAGCAAGAUGGGAAGACCAUUGAUAGAUAAAAAAAAAAAAAAAAAGAGGGCAAGCUUGGAAUAAUGAUAAAGCUGCUCAUUUAUGACUGAAAUGUCAGAGGUUCGAAUUCGAGAAACAGCCUCUUUAUACAUAUGCAAGAAUAAAGCUGCGUAUAAAGAUUGCCCUCAUCCCACCCUCGUUAGUUGGGGUUUAAUGGGAAGACCAUUGAUAAUGGAACAAAUAAGUUUCAUCAACUAUUUUGGUUAUGUUAUGGUUAUUUAUGGGUCAAAUGCUCAAUUAUUUUUCAUGUGGGUUUGUAUUUAAAAGUAAAAUUAACAAUUCAUGUAUAUUCAGAAUUACAGAUUCUGGCAUGGGUGGUAAUAAUGCAAUUUCUAAUAGAAAAAUGUUAAACAUGUUGAUGUAUUAAAAUUUGUAGUCAAUCAAAGGAUAUGCAAGAACAGCUUGUUCAUUUGAUAAUGCAAUUGCAGUUGCACUGUAUUCUCAUACUAGCAGGUUCAGAACUUUCAAGUCUAACAUUGAACCUCGGGCACAUUUAACACUACUAUUACAGUAUGUUAAAGGAUCUGCUACAGCAGAAGCACAGAAGGCAAAAUCAGCAAAAACUCGAGCUCUAAUGCUCUACUUGCAGCGAGACCAAAAGCUUCAAGCAAUAGCCAAUUAGUUAGUUUAUUAUUCUCUGAACACUCUUAGGGAGUUUGAUUGUGUGUGGAAAACAUGCCACUGUAUAACAUAGUAAGCUUAUUGUAAUCUUCAGCAUUUCCAGAAAUAAGAAAUACCAUUUCGUAAGAAAUAUCUUCCUAAACUUUAGAUGAAGAUGCAUUUCUUUCCUGAUAAAACCUUAAUUUAUUGUAUUGACGUAUGAAGUCAAUUAUAUCAU